rnacentral:rRNA from 1 species
UACGUAGGGUCGCAAGCGUUGUCCGGAAUUACUGGGCGUAAAGAGCUCGUAGGUGGUUUGUCGCGUUGUUCGUGAAAACUCACAGCUUAACUGUGGGCGUGCGGGCGAUACGGGCAGACUGGAGUACUGCAGGGGAGACUGGAAGUUCCUGGUGUAGCGGUGGAAUGCGCAGAUAUCAGGAGGAACACCGGUGGCGAAGGCGGGUCUCUGGGCAGUAACUGACGCUGAGGAGCGAAAGCGUGGGGAGCGAACAGG